AAAGAAGAGACUUUGCCUUGAUCUACUCUUAGCAUUUCUAAUCCUUCUCUACUGUCUUCAGAAUGUAACAUCAGGAUGAUGAAGAAGAUGGAUAGCUACUGAUUUCCAGCUAAGAUCUCCUCCUCCUCCUCCUCCUUAGUCCACUUUGGGAGUUUUGCUCUGACAUCAGGACUGAGUAAAGCAACUUGAACUUCCAAUUUAAAGCAAUUAUUUAGCUCUGACCUGGCUGAACUCUAUGACCUGUUGGAGAUCUUAGCAAUCUGUUUGUAAUGAAGAGCGUUACUGCUUUUGAGUUGUUUAGAAUUUCAAAAAGGAAAUUUUUCAGCUCGUCCUCAGAACAUUCAGAACUUUGCUCCUCAGAAGCAAAGCUAGGAGCUCAUUAACAUGAAUAUAGUCUAAUUUAUUAAAAUGAUUCAGAAAAUUG